rnacentral:snoRNA from 1 species
UGGCCAGUGAUGAAAUCUGAUAAAUCAUACCAUCUUUCGGGACUGAAUGGCCUCAAGGCCUUGCUGUUAUUCUGCAAUUCUGAGGCCA